AAAUAAGAAGCAAAAAUUGCAUUUAGUUUCGACCUAAAAAUUUGAUAGAUAUUUAUCCUUAUUUA
rnacentral:tRNA from 1 species